CCGGGAACCCCGAACAUCCCCUUUCUCUACUCUUUCCCUUUGGAGUCUAUAGAGGGAGAAGCAGAGCCUAAGGCUUCAUCAGUUUGAAUACUGGCUGGGGCUGGGCAAGUUAGUGGCUCAAAGUGUUGAAUCUGUCCCUAAAGCAGGGACAGAAAUGGAGGCUCAGGAGGUAGAGGUGGCAGUGGGCGUGCAGGAGAAGCUGUAGGUCAGGAGGUAGAGGUGGCAGUGGGCGUGCAGGAGAAGCUGAGGUCGGGAGGUAGAGGUGGCAGUGGGCGUGCAGGAGAAGCUGUAGGUCGGAAGGUAGAAGUGGCAGUGGGCGUGCAGGAGAAGCUGUAGGUCGGGAGGUAGAGGUGGCAGUGGGCGUGCAGGAGAAGCUGUAGGUCAGGGGGUAGAGGUGGCAGUGGGCGUGCAGGAGAAGUGUAGGUCAGGGGGUAGAGGUGGCAGUGGGCGUGCAGGAGAAGCUGUAGGUCGGGGGGUAGAGGUGGCAGUGGGCGUGCAGGAGAAGGUGUAGGUCAGGAGGCAGAG
rnacentral:lncRNA from 1 species